CCAGAGAAUUGAGAAAUUGGGCGCCAUUCUCUCAUCUAUCUCUCAUCCUUCCUUCCUACGCUUACUUUUUUGAAACCGCCUCUUCAAUUUGGAAACCUAAUAAAUUCUCUCAAUCAAUUAGUUGAAAUCAUUCUCCAAUUUGCCAAAUUGAUUUCUCUUCACAUUCACACGGCUUCUCAAAACAUCACACAUUCAAUUUUACAAACCCUAAAUCUCAUCUACGGCUUCAUCUCUAGCAACGAUUGUUCCUGGCCCUAGAAAUCCCUAAAUCUCAAGCAUUCAAACACUCAUCUAGAUAUAGAGUUGUCGAAUCGGUUUUGAUUUUGUCGCUCAAUCGAACAAGGUUCAAUCGAAUAUUAUGAUUAUGAAGACGAAAACAAAGAAGAUUAUGAAGGGGAAGGAGUCAAGAAGUUGAUUUCGUCAGAGAAAAUGUAACAAGGUGUUUAUUGAUGUUUAUUCUAGACUUCAUUUUGAAGAUCUGACCAAGAGCAUUGGAAACUGAAUGCCAACAAUUUGAAGUUUACUCCAUGUUCAGUAUUCACUUUUUUUACUUUUUAAUCAUAUGAACAAUUUGAAGAGAUUGUGGAGAUGAUGCCUCUUAUGUCAUGUUUGGAUAAUGUGGUAUGCAGAAAGGUUUAGCCGUUGCCAACAAGAAUAAUCUUCUUUUUGGCCUUGCUCAUAAAAGGUAACUUUUGUGAAAAAAAUGGGUCUUCGUUAUUGCUAUUGACAUUGCUGAGGUUGAACCUAGCAGAACGGUACAAGGACCUAACCCUUGAAAAUUUUUACUUAUAACCUUUUUUGUUUGGUUUCACAAUUGCUGAAGAAAGAUAGACACCCUAUCCCAUUUUGAUUGGUAACUAUAUAUUUGCGGUCUAGCGAGUUACGGCAUUGUAAAACAGCCAAAACGAUUGGUUUGGUCCUGGUCUACUUUAUUUUUGGUUUGUUCCAAGGGUUUAAUUUCUUAAUUUGGUUAUGGCUAUUUUUUAUUGAUUUUAUAAAUUAACUGUUUCAUUUGUUUUAAUUUAGGUUUUCAUGUUUGCAAAUAAAAAAAAAUGCAAAAGGUAAGCCUUCAAAGCUCACAUGGACAGCCAUGUACCAGAUGCAACACAAGAAGGUGCUUCAAUAAUGAUUCUGAUGUAUUGUUAUGUAUGUGCAUAUAUAACUACAUUGCUUUCAUAUGCAAUUCAUACACAUUAUAUCGAGGUGUUGACUAUGAUUUUCAAAUCUCCUGAAGUAUGAUGCGAACCCACGACCAACCGGUUUACAAUCGACUUCUGUAAAUAUAUUUUUUUUAUUAAAUAUUUUAGGAGUAUGAUCCCGAUCUCCCACCAGAGCUAUCAUCUCAUCUGAAAACCAUUUCUUUGGAAAAGCGAAUGUGCAAAGUGACUUAGUUAAGGGAUCCAUACUCUCUCGAAUGUAAUUGGUUCUUGAACUGUCUGGAGAUGCAUGAAGAGCCUUGGCCGUCACUGUCGGAACAUCCCCGUUGCUUCACUAUUGUCGGGAAGCCUCAUUGCCAUGGCAAAUCCUAUAGGAAAGUGAUUGAAGAACGAUAUUAGUUGGUACAACCGGGAGAAAAACAGAGAGCGAAGAUGAGGGACAAAUACCUCUCGAUGAUGUUUCAGAUGAUUGACAAUGGCGUCGCUCUAGCGUGCGACGGUUGUGACAUGUUGUUCGUUGCGGCGCAUGAUGGGAAGAGCGCUAGCUGCAGAUUGGUGGGAUGAAAUAGGCGAUGGCUAACAACCGUUAGAAAUGGUGAUGUUGUGCAACAGAUUUCCUAAAGUGGUAUAGAUUAUCAAUUGAUGAAGCAUUAUAGAUGAAUAGAUGACUUAUUGAUCACAAAUCGUUUUUUCUUGCAUGUGAUUCAUAUUCCAAAUUAAUGGCCAUGAUAAUGAUGGGGUUAUGUAAUAUGAGGAGAACAGACAAAAAGGAAUGGUGAAUUAUUUAGACUUUAAUAAUAAAAUAAAUCAUGAAUUCUAAUGUUAAUUUAAA